GACGUAGGGCGCAAGCGUUGUCCGGAUUUAUUGGGCGUAAAGAGCUCGUAGGCGGCCUGUCGCGUCGACCGUGAAAACCCGCAGCUCAACUGCGGGCUUGCGGUCGAUACGGGCAGGCUGGAGUUCGGUAGGGGAGACUGGAAUUCCUGGUGUAGAGGUGAAAUUCGUAGAUAUCGGGAGGAACACCGGUGGCGAAGGCGGCGAUCUGGGUCGAUACUGACGCUGAGGUGCGAAAGCGUGGGGAGCAAACAGG
rnacentral:rRNA from 1 species